rnacentral:rRNA from 1 species
UACAGAGGGGGCAAGCGUUGUUCGGAAUUACUGGGCGUAAAGGGCGCGUAGGCGGCCUUCUAAGUCGAACGUGAAAUCCCCGGGCUCAACCCGGGAACUGCGUCCGAUACUGGAAGGCUUGAAUCCGGGAGAGGGAUGCGGAAUUCCAGGUGUAGCGGUGAAAUGCGUAGAUAUCAAGCGGAACACCGGUGGCGAAGGCGGCCUUCUGGACGAUGACUGACGCUGAGACGCGAAAGCGUGGGGAGCAAACAGG